AUGUGCAUAACACAGAUUUUGAGUUUCAUAGUCAUGAAAGUCAUAGUGUUAUUUAUGUCCUUUUUUUGGAUAAAAACCAAAUCUUUGUUUUGUAUUUUCUAUAUUACUGCGACGACCCAGAGACCUUUUUCUGUUGUAGAUGCUUCAGUCGCUUCCUGUUUGGGUCCCUCAGCGUUAUUAAUGAGCCUAAUCACGCCCACCUGCGCCGCUUCCGGGCUCGUGUUUAACCAGCCGUCAGUCGCUGCUCGGGUUGCCAGGUUGGACCUUCUGCCGGUUUCAGGUGGCGUCCUGCACGUUUCACUGCUCGGGGGUUUGAUGGCGUCUCUCUGCUCCAGGUUAUCGCCUCUUCCGAGCCAACGGGGACCCGGGCCAGUUCCAGAACGUGCCGAGCCCUUUUCCAGCCUCAUUCCGGUGUGACGUCAUCGCGUAUUCCCCUCCAACACAUUGAUCCACGUCUUGUCUGCAGCCUGGGUGGCACGCGUCACGUUCAACGAGGCUGCGGCGCGGGGUGAACACGUCCCAUCGGGCGCUCGUGCCUUUUGGACGCGCAUCAAAGGACGCGUCUGCUUGUGCGUGCGCAACGUGCCGUCAUCCGCUGCGACCGGCGCGCCAUUCAUCGCGAUGGAACGCCGAGCUGUUAUGGCGUCACGUUCUCAGCUGAAAUCUGUAAUUUGCCAACUUAAACAUUGUGUGUGUGUCCACAAACCUUCAAGCGGAUUUAAACAAGCAUCCAUUAAACAUGUUCUCUGACAGCCCAGACUGCACAAGUACCUCUAUUGUAUCCAUUUAAACCAAAUACCUCAACAAAAAAAAAAUUUAAACACAGUAACUCUGACAAAGACAAUUUAACUCAAGUGAAACUUUUCAGGUGCAUUACUUCAGGAUUUUGGUCUUAAAGCAAGAACAUGAAGCAAAGAGCUUUAACGGUGCUUUUGGGUGAAUUGAAGUCCCCCAUCGUCCCCCUCACGCCUAAAGCUGCUGAAUCUGCACGAUUUUUUUCUCUAGUAGAAAACACUCCAGAUGGUGAGAUCAUCAUCAGAUGACAGCUCCCAACAACCAAAGACCUUUUGAACCUAUCUGAUGUGAUACUGAAAUCCUUCAGGUUUUGUUGAAACCUUUGUAACCAGAUUAGCUGCAAAAUCAUUAGUUCUGAAAAGGGAGACAUGGGCGUCAAGGAAAAUAAAAUGUGGUUCCAAUAAUUUUAGAGCUGAUGC
rnacentral:lncRNA from 1 species